rnacentral:rRNA from 1 species
UGGGGAAUUUUGGACAAUGGGCGAAAGCCUGAUCCAGCAAUGCCGCGUGCAGGAUGAAGGCCUUCGGGUUGUAAACUGCUUUUUGUACGGAACGAAAAAGCUUCUCCUAAUACGAGAGGCCCAUGACGGUACCGUAAGAAUAAGCACCGGCUAACUACGUGCCAGCAGCCGCGGUAAUACGUAGGGUGCGAGCGUUAAUCGGAAUUACUGGGCGUAAAGCGUGCGCAGGCGGUUAUGUAAGACAGAUGUGAAAUCCCCGGGCUCAACCUGGGAACUGCAUUUGUGACUGCAUGGCUAGAGUACGGUAGAGGGGGGAUGGAAUUCCGCGUNUAGCAGUGAAAUGCGUAGAUAUGCGGAGGAACACCGAUGGCGAAGGCAAUCCCCUGGACCUGUACUGACGCUCAUGCACGAAAAGCGUGGGGGAGCAAACAGGAUUAGAUACCCCUGGGUAGUCCACGCCCUAAACG